rnacentral:misc_RNA from 1 species
AAAUCGAAUCGCAUCGAGUCGAAAGUCGCUCUCUCGCUCGCCGUCGGGCAUUUCUCGUGAACACUCGGGUAGUCACGUAAAUCGCAUACCUCGUGUUCUCCCUCUGAUUACGUAAACGGAUCGGGAACAAACGUAUUACUUAAUCGUGCGAUUCUGCAUAAAUCACGACAACACGAUUCAAGGAACUGCGUGUCUCGAAAUGAACCUUAGGUAUCGAAGCGCAAACAAUUUCUCCGACUUUCAUUUCACAGUGGUACGACCUCUAGCGACAGCUAACAAAAAAUGUAUUUAAACUAGUAUCGAGUUACAACGAUUUAUCGAUGCUUUUUUAAUGGCGGUUUCAAAUUUCCUUCGGUAUGUUUACAGUUGGAGAAGAGUACGGUUAGUGCACAAUAUAACUCACAAGUUAACCUAACAUUUUUAUAAAUAAUGUAGAAGAAUAAUAAUUGAAGAGUUGGACUAGAAAGCAGGUAUCGAAAUAUCGAACGCAAUACACGUCUAGUAAUAGUUACAUCACUAUACAAAGCCUAAUGAAGAAUUUGCAAGAAACUGUUGCGUUUUCGUCACGAAUGAGACCACAGGAUAAUAGACGGUACAUAGAUGGCAGUAUUACGAACUAAACUCACCGAGUGUACGAUGGAAUUUACAUCACUUCCGAUUAUCGGUUCUCUGUACAAGCACGAAAAAAUGGUGCAUCAAUGAGGUUAUAACCAUAACUGUGCAUACGGUGCGGGCUCACGUAGACCGAAACGAAAUGCACGUUACAGUUGAGAAAUAAUCUAUUACUCGACCGAUUUUGGUCAGUGAAACUUUUUGUUUUACGGAACUGUUAUUCGUAAGAAUAAUUUCUGUGCCUUCUGGCAGGUAUUGCGUCAAUAACGGAGUCUCCCGGAAGUCGAAGCGAUCAAUUCCGUGAAAUAAAAAGUAGAGAAAAUCAACGAUGCUAUACUGGACUUAACGCUUCAACGAGCACGUAUAAUACUUUUUCCUCUACAUACAAUUACACGUGUACACUCAUGCAAUUUCCAAAUAUAAAACCUUUGUACUUAUAAAAAUCACUCUUCGAAUAAAUUACAAUUUGCAGGUAAACAGAAUGAUCGUGACGCACGACGAAAUUCAAUUAAAAUGUGGAUCACAGUUUGACUAACAAACCUAAUAUUUACAUAUGUGAUUGUACAACAAAAAGGAGAUCAAAGGCAAACCGGUACGCAACCGGUCAUUGUAUGCCACCUGAUAACAGAGCUGAUACGAGCGCAAUGCAACCCAGAUUUACAAAUCAAGGCCACGACUAUUUGUUCACACCUGACGCACAAAAAAGGUAAUCGACGGUGAAAGUGUAUGCACAUCUUGGAGUGCAUAUAAGCUGCAAGAAAAAUAUGAAUGAAGGUGACCCGCAAAACCUAUUGGUUACACGUGCCUAAACUAGAUAAGAUAGUGCUCGACUUACUGAUAACGCACUGACAUUGUUUGCUUAUUUUAAUUAUGACAUUAGAAACGCUGUCGGCUUGCGUAAUGAUCUACUUAAAGCUACUAUUAAUUAAUUGACUAAUGAUCCAACAAGCUAAUCAGUUAUUCCAAAAUUAUCUGCCUUAAUGAAUAAUUAUCAGUGACUGGAAUUAUAAUUGCAAUUUAAUGGGUACUUACCCGGCUUACACAAUACAUUACACUGAUAUAGUUAAUAUAAUUCUACUAUAUUAAUAUUGUCUGUCACAGUAUGCUGAGUCAGUAGUAUUACAAGGUAGAUUAUAGCAAUAAAUUAUUACAAAGUAUAUCUAUGCCAGUGUGUUACAGUAUACGGACAUGCAAUGUCUAAUACCAGAGUACAGAUGGUCGUCUACAAACUUCGUGGGUUAACGGAUUGCCCAGCAGCGGUAAAAGGACCAUUUUUACACGUAACACGGGCGUGUCGCAGACGUUUACAUGUGCGUGCUCGUGAAACCGCAGCAGCUGCUUGUACGCUUGGAAAAAAUAAUAUAAACCCGCCACAAUGUGCUCGAAUGAUACAAAGACCUCGAAACGGCGCUAGAAAGGUUUUACGUAACGAACAUGCUGUCAAAAGACCACCUGAUCGAUUCUUGGACAAACAAGGGAUUCGCAACGUUCGUAAGCAGCGAGAAACCAGAAAUACUAAAAGGGAAAUUUUAAACACACCGUCUUGCUCAAAACGACCACCUGCUACCGCUCUCUAUUUAACUUAUUCUUUGCAGAAAAUUUUAUGCAAGAUGAAUGAAAAGGAAAGAAAGUUAUUGUGAAAGCAUUAAGUAUUAAUUUUUUUUAAUGUCGUGCACUUCAGCGUCAAAACAUGGAUGUCAUGAUAAAUUAAAUUCCUUACAAGUUUCCAAAUAUUUUGAUUAUCACGAGACGCAAGAUUACGCUUGUUUUAAUAUCAUUUUUUACGAAAUCAAACACAAAUCGAGAACAGCAAAAGUGGAUCAAAAUGUCAAGAGAAUUCUGCUUUCAAGAAUUUAGAAAUAUGGUGUGAUUAAUCAUCGAUACGAUGAAAAAAUAAAUUCGAAAUUUACGCCAUUACCAUGCGCAGCUACGAUAGAUAUUUACUUAUCGUGAAAUCUCAAGAUUUCUAUUUCGCUAGCAAACAUAGACUAUAAGAACGUUUCACGAUGAUAAGCAUCCCGUGAAAUCGUGAAGCAAUAACACAUAUUUACAAUGUGACGUACAUUUACUGUUUCGACUUAUGUUUGAUAAUGCGAUAAAAUGUUUCAUGAUUCCUAGAUUACAGUAGGAAACUCAUAGAAUAUACAUAAAAUAUUAGUAACGCAUCGAACUACGACAAUUCGAACAAUGAAGAUGAAGAAAUAUAAGGUGUAUUUCCAUCGAUAAUAUUUUUAAAUAAAUGGCGCGAAAUAACCGCAUUUCAAAUAA